CCUCCUUAGAGGACAGCAUCUCUCUCUCUCUCUCUCUCUCUCUCUCUCUCUCUCUCUCUGGAUGUUUGUGGGGAAGUUGCCAAGUGAUCAACAGUGAGGGUGCACCAUAAGAAGCUGAAGCUGCCAGCAUGAUCUGAUGACUCUAUCUUCUGAAUCUUGGAUGAGGAUAUGCAGAUCAUGUUGCAGCUCCAUCUACUGGUGGGAGCACCAGAAGAAAACAGAAAAGUCUAUCCUAAUUCCUUUCUCUCUUUAACCUAACAACCAUGGUUUCAUGAGAAACCUAACAUGAACAAAAGGGCUGCUGAUUUUGACCUAACUUAGCAGUGUUUUGACUUGUUAUCCUUUCCUUGGAAGUUGCAUGUGAGCCAAGGAGUCCAGCCAGUGGUGUUUGUGGUGUACACACAGCUAUUAAAGUCCAAUUCUGGUGGAGGACACAUAGUGAGCUGUUCUGAUUCAUGCAGUGUUUGUCUCAUGCAGCUUGGGUCUUGUUUCCAUGUAGUCCAGAGCCUGUGAGUGAAACCUUGCUUAAGCUUAGCACCAAAAUGGAGUGGCCAAAUCCACAGACUGCAAAAGUCUCUUCCCAUGGAAAAGGGAUGAUGAAAAGGAGACAUGACUGCAAAGGGUAAAAGGAGUUGAUACAACUGAGGAAAGUGACCACUUUUGGAGUAUAAAUCCUAUUGAAAGGUGAAAGGGAUAUCUCUUUUCUUUGCUGA